AUGGCGAAGAAGGCCGCAAAGCGAGCUGUUGGUGAAGCAAGGGGUCGGGCAUUUGAGGACCUCUACCAACGGUUAGGCACGAAGGAAGGUGAAAGGGACAUCUAUAAGAUGGCUAAGAUCCGGGAGAGGAAGACGAGGGAUAUUGGCCAAGUCAAAUGCAUCAAGGACGGAGCAGGCCAACUCUUGGUGAAGGACGAAGAGAUUAAGCAUAGAUGGCGGGAGUACUUCGACAAGCUGUUCAAUGGGGAGAAUGAGAGUUCUACCAUUGAACUGAAUGACUCCUUUGAUGAGACCAGCAUGCGUUUUGUGCGGCGCAUCCAGGAGUCUGAGGUGAAGGAGGCUUUAAAAAGGAUGAAAGGAGGCAAGGCGAUGGGCCCUGAUUGUAUCCCCAUUGAGGUGUGGAAAGGUCUCGGGGACAUAGCGAUAGUAUGGCUAACCAAGCUUUUCAACCUCAUUUUUCGGGCAAACAAGAUGCCAGAAGAAUGGAGACGGAGUAUAUUAGUACCAGUCUUCAAGAACAAGGGGGAUGUUCAGAGUUGUACUAAUUACCGUGGAAUUAAGCUGAUGAGCCAUACAAUGAAGCUAUGGGAGAGAGUCAUUGAGCACCGCUUAAGAAGAAUGACAAGCGUGACCAAAAAUCAGUUUGGUUUCAUGCCUGGGAGGUCGACCAUGGAAGCCAUUUUCUUGGUACGACAACUUAUGGAGAGAUAUAGGGAGCAUAAGAAGGACUUGCAUAUGGUGUUCAUUGACUUGGAGAAGGCCUAUGAUAAGAUACCGCGGAAUGUCAUGUGGUGGGCCUUGGAGAAACACAAAGUCCCAGCAAAGUACAUUACCCUCAUCAAGGACAUGUACAAUAAUGUUGUGACAAGUGUUCGAACAAGUGAUGUCGACACCGAUGACUUCCCGAUUAAGAUAGGACUGCAUCAGGGGUCAGCUUUGAGCCCUUAUCUUUUUGCAUUGGUGAUGGAUGAGGUCACAAGGGGUAUACAAGGAGAUAUCCCAUGGUGUAUGCUCUUUGCAGAUGAUGUGGUGCUAGUUGACGAUAGUCGGACGGGGGUAAAUAGGAAGUUAGAGUUAUGGAGACAAACCUUGAAAUCGAAAGGGUUUAGGCUUAGUAGAACUAAAACCGAGUACAUGAUGUGCGGUUUCAGUACUACUAGCUGUGAGGAGGAGGAGGUUAGCCUUGAUGGCCAGGUGGUACCUCGGAAGGACACCUUUCGGUAUUUGGGGUCAAUGUUGCAGGAGGAUGGGGGUAUUGAUAAGAUGUGA
rnacentral:rRNA from 1 species